CAGCGAUGCUGGGAGAAAAGCAGUCCCAACCAUCAGUGCCUGAUCCUGCUGCUGUUCCUCUUUGAGCACUUCCCAGAGCCUCCUCUAAAAGGGGCAUUAACUGAUGGCAACACCUGAACCUUGGACUCCUUUCAUUCAGCAUUAAGAGCCUUGACAACUACUUGCUAGCUCUGCACAGGAACAUCGUAUUGACUGAGAAGGCUUGACAUGCUCUUCCAGAGCUGGAUAACUGCUGGCACUGCAGCAUUCCAGGGCCAUGUUCAUAGGCAUGCAGAAUAUAUUUCUGUCUUUGGAUAUUUUAGAGUCAGUUGAGCUGCAGUCCUGCAGCAGGAAAGCUGGAGAAUAUGUAUUUUGUCUACUGAGUUUUGCAAUCCUUGGAGCAGAGCACUGCGUACUAUUAAAGGUAAAUGGUUAUUUGCCACAAUAUAGUGACCGUGUGAGAUGAGGCAAGAGGCAAGUGAAGGAGUAGAGAAAGUAAUUUGUCUUAAACGAAACAUUUUGAUUUUUCACCCUCUGUAUACCCAAACCUGUGUGUCUGCAGUAGGGACCCCAUGCCAUGGGCACAGCUAAAUCCUGCCAACAGAAUGUUAUGUGUAGGAUUUCUUGAGGUCUGGUGGUAGAGCCAGACAGAUGGACUGAGAGCCCUGAACAGCAGUCAGUUCUCAGAUCCCACCUUGACAGUGCUUCCAACCAGGAAAGGAGGACAUCCACGUGUAUUCCUGCUGCACAUAAAUGAAGCACGUUGCUUAUGUGAACCCCAGACCCUACGAGUUCCAUAUGGACCUUUAGGCAGGGGGCUGAGGUUUUCAACUGUGAAUUCUCCAGGAGAGGUACUGAUUUAAUCACCAUCUGCACUGAAACGGUAGCAUACAGCAGAUGGAGGCAUUUAACAAUAAAGUUAAAAGCACCUCAUUUAGAGAUGCAUUUUGUUGGCAACUUCAGGUUCCCUGGGGAUCCCUAGCCAUACAGCUGAGCGCUGGGGACUCAUCCCCAAGCAUAAGCCAUGCCUGCGCUAUGCCCUUACUGUGCUGUCCUCACCUGCAGCCUAUAUGAUGCUGGACCUCUGAGAGAGAGCAGGAAAUGAUUUUGAAUAGGCAAAUAGGGGGAAAUCAUUUCGGGGUUGUUGCCCCAAGGGUUGUCAUCUGGAGAAGAGAAUGCUCUGGGGAGACCUCACUGUGGCCUUCCAGUUCCUGAAGGAGGCUUACAAACAGGAAUGGGACCGAUUUUUUUACGCAGUGGGAUUGUGAUAGGACAAGGAGGAAUGGCGGGGAAUUUAGGUUAGAUGUUCAGAGGACUUUCUUCUCUGAGAGGGCUGUGAGGCUCUGGCACUGCUGCCCAGAGAGCUGUGGGUGUCCCAUCCCUGGAGGUGCCCAAGGCCGGGCAGCGCUGAGCUCUGCUCUCUGUGAGGCCCAAGGGAACAGCAUGGAGCUGUCAGGGGAGGGGCAGCUGGGGGUUAGGGAAAGGCUGUGCCCCACAGGGUGGUGGGCAUGGAACAGCCUGCCCAGGGCAGUGGGCACGGCCUGAGCUGUCGGAGUUCAAGGGGUGUUUGGACAGCACUCUCAGACCCAGGGUUUGGAUUUGAGUGGUGCUG
rnacentral:lncRNA from 1 species